CAGACACCACUAACUUUCAUGGUGACCACAACCAAAACUGAGACUGAAAAAGAAAGAAAGAUUGCUCAAGAAAAUAUUAUAAACAAGAAAUAUCUGGAUAACAUUUGGAUAUGUUAAAUCAAGUCUUCACGAACCUGAAGCCACAACCAACUAGCAGCUGUGAUCAUUAACUAAAUCCAGGAAGGAAAAUAAAUCAAUGAAAAGAUCAGCUUUCUUCUUCACAGCUCUGUCAGCCGUCAUAAGUGAGGAUUUCAGUUUGACUGGAGAGUAGACAGAGGCAUACAGAGCUGUACUUUCCCAAUCAAGAUCAAGCCUGGACUAAAAUGUCUUCCCAAUCAGCAACAAUGGAGAACAUUCCACUGACUGCUGUCCCAGGUACAGGUGAAACGACAGAUGCCCAAAAUGACACCACCUGCCUUCAAGUGAUCACCUGCUGUGGUCGUGACCAUACUGUUCCCUCCUGUGCCAAGGACAGGGACUAUAGGAGACUGGCCAUUAGCAGCAUCAUCUGUGGACUCUCCUGCAUUGGAAUUUUAGCUUUGGUCAACUCAGUCAAGGCUCGAGAGGCAAGGAAGACGACUCCAGAGAAGGCUAAACAAUACUCCCAACGGGCAAAAACGUUUGGGAUCAUUUCUAUUGUGGUGUGGGUGGCGAUUCUGGUACUCAGCCCACUACUAUUGGUACUGGUGUCAUACAUACUCACUCUGAUAGACUGACCAAUUCCCAGGAACCACCAAGGUGGAUGUACUGUACCAUAAGGAUGGCUACAGGACAGCGGUCCAACUUCUUCAGUAUUAAUCUUGGACUGCCGUGACACUGUGAGGUGGGAACAGAUGGAAAAGCACCUCCGGUGACUCAGGGAUACAGCCUCCCUGAGUAUCAUUCUGAUAAGGCUGUCUUGCUGAUAAGGAUUUACAAAGGCACCUUUAACUUUCUUUUGUGUCAAACUGGAAUUUAUCACUGGAAGACUGGUUUAUAGUUAACAUUCAAGUGAUGCCACAGCUAUAAAUACAUUAUAAAUAU